CCUACGGGAGGCAGCAGUGAGGAAUAUUGGUCAAUGGGCGGAAGCCUGAACCAGCCAAGUAGCGUGCAGGAUGACGGCCCUAUGGGUUGUAAACUGCUUUUAUACAGGAAUAAAGUUAGCCACGUGUGGUUAUUUGUAGGUACUGUAUGAAUAAGGACCGGCUAAUUCCGUGCCAGCAGCCGCGGUAAU
rnacentral:rRNA from 1 species